AUAUAAAUGAUUGCCAAAAGGAAAAUGUAUAUGUUUGUAUAUUAUCAAAAUUUUAUAACAAAAUGUAGCUAAAAAUAUAAUUUGGGGUAUAUUUUGUCAUAUUAAGUUUUGCUAAAAUUAAGUAAUAAUUUAAUAUUUUUAAUUGUUUAUCACAAAUACAAAUUAAUAAAAAUACUUUUACUUCUUAAUAAGACAAUUUAUUUACAUUUUGUGUGGGUCAAAAUUAGGCUAAUAUAGAGUCAAAAUCGGAUUAGUUUCGGUUAAAUUAUGGGUAAGUCAAACCGGAUGUAUAAUUAUCGGUUAACUGGUCGGUUCAAUUGGAGGCGUAGUUUUAAGAACAAAUCCGAAAGUACAUGUAGUUUUAUCGAGAUUAAAAUUAUUUCUGAAGGUUUUUCAAGUGGCUAAAAGUUUAGGGUGAAUGUUGAGAUUUCAACUAGUAUAGGGCUGAAAAUUCAGGCAACCCAAACUUAAAAUAUUGAAAGGUUUUUAGCGGUUAGGAGAACCGGCCUAGACAUCGAAACUCGGUGACUCUGAUUCGACUUGUCUAACCGGUCAGACCGGGUUUUCUAAUUUUAAUAGCUUCUGAUAAACAACCCAUUGGCUUAAGGAUUUUUAAUUUAGGGGCAUCUUUGAGCAGACGCAUUAGUAGAUUCUCCCAUUCUGGUUGAUAUGUACUUAGAUGAUGUGGGUUCUAAAAUCCACACUAGAGAUUUGUAUUUAAGAUUAUGAGAAAGGAGGGCUAGAUCUUAACUGAAACCUUGAGAGUUAUAUUGCUAAGAACGAAUGGACUUUUGUAUUAAUUAUGACAAAGCUUUUACAAUGUGAAAAGAGAUUACAAGUGUAAAAGUGUGUGUGUGCGAAUGUGAACUGGAUUGAAUGUCUCUUCCAAGUCGUCCUUGCUCCCUUAUAUAGAUCUACGCACGUGGUAGCUUCGUCCGGGAUCUGCGGAGAUCCUCCUAGAUAUUCAUCAGGUCAGUUCCAAAAUAUCAGGUCCGCUCCGCGAAUAUCUCCUCAUCAGUUCCUAGGUCAUUAUUCGCUUAUCUCCCUUCAUCAGAUGACUGGGCUUAUCUGGCCCAAGUACCCAUUCGCGUAUGUGGGCUCGUCAGCUGCAUAGGUCCUCUACUUGGUGGGCUUGGUGGGCUUUUGUGGGCUGGCUUGGUAUUUUCGCAGGUGGAUUCCUGGAGGGGAAUCCAGCUCCAACAUUUGCCCCCCAGCCCAUUGAGUGAGUAAGCGAACUCGAUGAGCGGACAUAUAGGUCAGGUAAGAUUGCGAAAAUAUUCUUGAUGAGAAGAUAAAUGUGAUUAGAUCACUCAGUUUUGAGGAUAAACUCAACAAUUUCGAUUUAAUUUCAGAUUCCCUUAACCGAAAGAUUUCGAGGAGGAUACGCGAGAUAAGUCGCUGCUGAUGUGGACGGCUGAGAUGGAGCGUCUCUUCAGCGCACCGCAUCUGACGGUCCAGAUCAGGCGCGGAGAAGAGAUCUCUGCAAUCUCGAAAAUCGUGGUGAUGAUGGCUUUAAAUAACUUCCCACCUAUCCAUUUGACGUCACGUCAACUCACACAACUCUCAAGGUAACUUCUCUCAUUCUUUAUUAUUUAUUGCUCUUUGUUUUGUAGAAGUAGAAAAAUCUCGUCUUUAUUUUUUUUGCUAUCUCCUUCGUUUCUCUGCUAUUCCCUCUUUCUCGAUCUGCCUUCUUUGCUCUUUUCUUUCAUCUCUCUCGUCCUUCUCUGUCGAAAACCAAAGAUGAGCGACUUUGAAGAUUCCCAGAAUAAAAGCAACCAUAGCUACGGCGACGAUUUAAGUUCGUCCGAGACGAGGUCGGUGGCGUCACCGCCGCGAGUACAAAGACGCGUCAUAACCCUGGGCGGAAUGGAUCCAAUUCGUAUGUCGUCAACCAGAGCCGACAAGCCGAAGAAGAAAAAGGCUGCCAAGCAAGGGGGAGGCACGCCGAUGAUAAACAGCGACCUGGUCGACCUCCGGAGGAGAUGCCAGGUUCCGGUGGAGGUACAUAUGAUACUCCUAAGGCCGCCGCUGCAUCCUGAGAACGUGCCGGUCGGGUGGUGCUGCGCUUAUGCCAAUUUCUUCGAGAAAUGUGGCCUAUUUUUCCCGAUUCCGGCGUGUAUUCUCGAGAUGCUCUACUGUCUCGGCCUCGCCUUUCCCCAGAUGUGUCCGAACUUCGUCUGCAAUGUGCUGGCGUUAUUCACCCAGGCUAGGAAAGUAAACAGAGAAUUCAGCUGCCAUGACCUGCUUCAGCUCUACCAGGUCAAGACCAAUGCUAGGAGCGACCAAGGGACGUACUACAUUAGUGCUCGUCCCAGAUCUCUGGUUCUCGGCGGUUUGAAGGCUUGUCGAGACACCAAUUGGCGAUCCAAGUACUUCUUUUUCAGAGUAGAUCGUCAUUCAAUCGGCAAUUUCGAUCCUGCGAGGAUAACAAGGACCUGGUCUACCAACCUGGGUCAGAUGGAGACCUGAGCCUCUUGAUUUUUCUUUGUUGUUUGUGUCGAAUCCUUGACUGCUUUUUGCUGAACGUUAGUACUGAAACUAAUUGUUUGUUUUUGAUGGUUUGCAGCAAGGACCAAGAAAGUUACUCUCUCGGAGACGGAACUCGACCUGUUAACCCUUCUCCGACGUGGUCAGACUGACUGGUCCACUUUAAGAAGAGAUCGCAUCGUAGCUGCUCUUGCCAUAGCUCCAGCAGUUCCCGUAGCUCCAGCAGUUCUUGCAAUCGUCCCUCCAGCAGCAUAGCUAGAUCCGAUCAAAGAGGUCCCGCGGAUUGAACCGGUUCUCGAGGCUGAUCUGCCUGUAGGUACGAGUUUCGUUAUAUUUUCUUUGGUUUAAAAAAUGUACGAGUUAUCGAGAUAGCUGAGCAACUCGAAUUGCUAACUAACAAAUGUCGUGCUCUAUUUGUUCAGUUCCUCCUGACUCCAGCUCUACUUCAGAACUCCCGCUCAUUAGAAGAAUGAGGCGUCCAAGUCUUCGUGUUCAACGAGCCAAUGCCGGAGCUCUUGCUCGUGCUGGUGAUCUGUCGGCCGCGGUGACCGCGGCUCAAAACAUUCUAGCUGUUUCCAGCGCAUCUGCCUCAACAUCUCAUCCCUCGCUUCCUGAGGUCAACACCGGGACCUCUGCUGCAGCAGGUCAGUCAGUUAACAUUCUGGUUGCUCAAGUAUUUGGGCCAUCUGCAGUUGUUCGUUCUGAUGGCGCACCGUCCUCUCCGAAGAGAGCUCGGACCCAGCCGGAGGUGAAUCCGGCGGCUGAGUUGCUCGUGAGCGACCA
rnacentral:sRNA from 1 species